rnacentral:rRNA from 1 species
UACGGAGGGGGCGAGCGUUGUUCGGAAUCAUUGGGCGUAAAGGGCGCGUAGGCGGCCGUCCAAGUCGGGUGUGAAAUCCCUCGGCUCAACCGAGGAACUGCACUCGAUACUGGUCGGCUAGAGUUCGGGAGAGGAUGGUGGAAUUCCCAGUGUAGAGGUGAAAUUCGUAGAUAUUGGGAAGAACACCGAUGGCGAAGGCAGCCAUCUGGACCGACACUGACGCUGAGGCGCGAAAGCGUGGGGAGCGAACAGG